rnacentral:tRNA from 1 species
AUGCUCUCGGAGAGGCUCGAACUCUCGACCUUUGGAUUACUCUGAUCUGGAAUCAAAUCACAACAUUUGUUAUGAGACCA